rnacentral:rRNA from 1 species
ACUCCUACGGGAGGCAGCAGCUAAGAAUAUUCCGCAAUGGACGAAAAUCUGACGGAGCGACGCCGCGUGGAUGAAGAAGGCCGAAAGGUUGUAAAGUUCUUUUGUUGGGGAAGAAUAACCAUGGGAGGGAAUGCCCGUGGGAUGACAUGAACCGACGAAUAAGCCCCGGCUAACUACGUGCCAGCAGCCGCGGUAACACGUAGGGGGCGAGCGUUGUUCGGAAUUACUGGGCGUAAAGGGCAUGUAGGCGGUCUUGUAAGCUUGGCGUGAAAGACCACGGCUCAACCGUGGGAUUGCGUUGAGAACUGCGAGGCUUGAGUGACGGAGAGGGAGCUAGAAUUCCUGGUGUAGGGGUGGAAUCUGUAGAGAUCAGGAAGAAUACCAAUGGCGAAGGCAAGCUCCUGGCCGAUGACUGACGCUGAGGUGCGAAAGUGUGGGGAUCAAACAGGAUUAGAUACCCUGGUAGUC